rnacentral:rRNA from 1 species
AUGUCGCUGGCGUUCGACGAUUUCGGACGGCCCUUCAUCAUCCUGAGGGAGCAGGAGAGCAAGUCCCGCCUGCGGGGGCUCGACGCGCACAAGGCCAACGUCGCCGCCGGCAAGGCCGUCGCGCGCAGCCUCCGCACCUCCCUCGGCCCCAAGGGCAUGGACAAGAUUCUCCAGUCCCCCGACGGCGACGUCACCAUCACAAAUGACGGAGCGACGAUCCUGGAGCAAAUGGAUGUUGACAACCAGAUUGCAAAGCUGAUGGUGGAGCUUUCCCGUAGUCAAGACUAUGAAAUUGGGGAUGGUACUACUGGGGUGGUGGUCCUAGCAGGGUCGCUCCUGGAGCAAGCUGAGAAACUGCUAGAGCGUGGUAUUCACCCGAUUAGAAUUGCGGAAGGAUAUGAAAUGGCUUCCAAGAUAGCUUUUGAUCACCUUGAACAUAUCUCCACUAGGUUUGAGUUCACUGCUGCAAAUAUAGAGCCCUUGGUGCAGACCUGCAUGACAACUCUGUCCUCAAAGAUUGUUAACCGUUGUAAGCGGAUGCUUGCUGAGAUUGCUGUCAGGGCAGUCCUUGCUGUUGCUGAUUUGGAAAGGAAGGAUGUAAACUUGGACUUGAUUAAAGUAGAAGGUAAAGUUGGUGGGAAGCUAGAGGACACUGAGCUAAUAUACGGAAUCGCUGUUGACAAAGAUAUGAGCCACCCACAAAUGCCAAAGAGAAUCGAGGAUGCUAAUAUUGCCAUCCUUACCUGCCCAUUUGAGCCCCCAAAGCCCAAGACAAAGCAUAAGGUUGACAUUGACACUGUAGAAAAAUUCCAGACGAUGCGUGGACAAGAGCAGAAAUGCUUUGAUGAAAUGGUUCAGAAAUGCAAGGAUGUUGGUGCAACCUUAGUUAUCUGUCAAUGGGGUUUUGAUGAUGAAGCCAAUCAUUUGCUUAUGCAAAGAAAUCUGCCUGCUGUCAGAUGGGUUGGUGGUGUUGAAUUGGAAUUGAUUGCCAUAGCUACAGGGGGGCGUAUUGUUCCAAGAUUCCAAGAGUUGACUCCUGAUAAGCUUGGGCAGGCUGGAUUGGUUAGAGAGAAGUCAUUUGGAACAACAAAGGAUCGAAUGCUUUGCAUUGAGAGGUGUGCAAAUUCCAGAGCUGUAACUAUCUUCAUCCGUGGCGGCAACAAAAUGAUUAUUGAGGAGGCCAAGCGAAGUAUUCACGACGCUCUGUGUGUGGCUAGAAAUCUGAUCCGCAAUAACUCUAUUGUUUAUGGUGGCGGCUCAGCUGAGAUAUCUUGCUCUGUUGCUGUCGAAGCUGCAGCAGAUCGAUAUGCUGGAGCCGAGCAGUAUGCAAUCAGGUCGUUUGCUGAUGCGCUGGAUGGGAUUCCACUAGCCUUGGCUGAAAACAGUGGUUUGCCACCUAUUGAUACGUUGACUGCAGUAAAAUCUCAGCAAAUUCAGGAGAACAAUCCCUACUGUGGCAUCGACUGCAAUGACGUUGGGACCAACGAUAUGAGAGAACAGCACGUCUUUGAAACCCUGAUUGGCAAGCAACAACAGAUAUUAUUGGCAACACAGGUUGUGAAGAUGAUUCUCAAGAUCGACGAUGUUAUCACGCCGUCAGAGUUCUGA